GAUGGAGCUCCUGCCUGAUGAUCACAAACUGUGGAAUUGCAGAGACUGACGGCUUCUGUUUUUAGUUUGAACUCUUCUGUUGCAUUUGCACCCCAUAGCAGCCAUUUUUUUUAGUUUAAUGUAAAAAAGUGCAAAGUGCUACAUGUGGGAUGUACUUAUUCUCAAAAAACAAGACACCAAACAAUGAAGACUGUGGAAGGCUCCAAAGUGCUGUGAGGGUUGAACACACACACCACAAGAUGGCGGUGUUGCAUUUUACAAAGUUGGCUGCAGCAGCUGAGUGUUCAGUUUACAUUUUGAUUUCAGAGCGAGCGAUUCUUCCAUCCAUUUGGAGUCAAUUGAAACCACAGAAGACAAAGGUAACACAGCUAGAGAAAGUGUUAAACACCAAAGACAUCAAGGAAUCCGGAGUAGAGAGGACAAUGAAAGGCAAACUUGUCUCGAUGCAUGCUCAAUAAUCCAGGUGAGGAAAUUCUGGAAAGUUGCUUCUGUUCAUCUGGACAUAGUUUAUUUUCCGAUAUGUUUCAUCACUCAUCCAAUUGACCUCCUCAGUCUCCGAGGCAAAGGAAACACAAACUUGUCUGACAGGACUGGUCACUUGAGGCUGUGAUGAGUGGAAGAUUGACGGCCACUCUGCCACUGACGUCACUUCUAUUGUCCUGGACCCGCCCCCCUCCAUAUGACUGGAAGUUUGGUCAUUUUCUGUCAGUUCUUUGUUGGACUCGUGUCUGGAAAGAAGGGGCUCAUCAAAAAGUCAAGGCAAUUUGAACAAUGGAUAAAGGCUGAUGCAAUACAUGUUUGUGAUGGAUGUCACACACGUGCUUAUGGGUGACAGCUAAAGGACGUGAGUAAGGGAAAUUCUGAAUUUGACUGGGAUGUUCCAGAGUGCACUGAUUCUUUUUCUCGCUUUUCUGCAGAUCAUUUACAGGAAAUUUCACCUGGCCCUGUUGACGUCACUUCCGGGUCCGAACCUAUGGAUGAAGACCCUUCCGAUCCCGGCCCCUUUGAUGUCACUUCCUAUACUGACCUUUAAAAGCCUCCACCUUUCCCCUAUCCCCUCAGUUCUCAGUCCUAUCACUUAAUUUUUCCGCCAGGAAAACAAUAUACAGGUGGCUGCCUCAAACCUUGCUAUGGCUCUUGUUCGAGUUUGUGGCAUGGAUUAUGGGUAGUUCAAACACAUACUCACAGAGUAUUAGCGCAGCGCUUUGCUGUUAGUUUAGUUGAAGCCAAGAUCAAAUGAACAUGGAUGCUCCACUGUGGGAUUGCACCAUUAUUGCCAUGAUGAGAUUUGUU